rnacentral:rRNA from 1 species
GAUGAACGCUGGCGGCGUGCCUAACACAUGCAAGUCGAGCGAUUCUCUUCGGAGAAGAGCGGCGGACGGGUGAGUAACGCGUGGGUAACCUGCCCUGUACACACGGAUAACAUACCGAAAGGUAUGCUAAUACGAGAUAAUAUGCUUUUAUCGCAUGGUAGAAGUAUCAAAGCUCCGGCGGUACAGGAUGGACCCGCGUCUGAUUAGCUAGUUGGUAAGGUAACGGCUUACCAAGGCGACGAUCAGUAGCCGACCUGAGAGGGUGAUCGGCCACAUUGGAACUGAGACACGGUCCAAACUCCUACGGGAGGCAGCAGUGGGGAAUAUUGCACAAUGGGCGAAAGCCUGAUGCAGCAACGCCGCGUGAGCGAUGAAGGCCUUCGGGUCGUAAAGCUCUGUCCUCAAGGAAGAUAAUGACGGUACUUGAGGAGGAAGCCCCGGCUAACUACGUGCCAGCCGCCGCCGUAA